rnacentral:lncRNA from 1 species
GUAAAUGACCCCGGUGGCCCCCACCCCUGCCUGGCAUGAGAGUGGGUAGGGGCUUCGGACUUGAGGGGACUGGAGCGGGAAUAAGGGUCUUCUCUGGCCCAGCCUUUGACUGAAGCUGGUCUGGAGACAGGGGCGUUAGAGAAGUGACUCAUAGAUGGCCUAAAUAAGCGGGGCCACUCAAGGACCCAGGACAGGGGGAAGAGGGCCAACCCAUCUGGACCGCAGGCAAACCCCAUGGCCUUUGAGAGAAGAGAGAAGAGGACCCGGUGAAGUAGGCUCCGAGGGCCUCAGCCCAGCAGGAGCGCAGGGAGCUGCACCAGGAACUCACAGAGGAUCAGGGAGAAUUCUGAGAACAUGCUACUGUGGUGCUGCCUAGAGAGGAAGGAUAAAUGAUGACAAGUACAUCUCUGAGUAACGUAUGGGCACUUGUUCAUGAAAACUGUUUUUCUGAAAGCUUGUGAAGGUCUUGAAAUACUCGCUAUCAGUUGAGGACAAACAUUUACACCCUCCUUCCACAGGGAGUUCAAGCAGGCUGGAUGGGUCCAUCUAUGGAUGAUCUUCCCCAGCCCCUUCCUCUUCCCAGCUCAUCCCUGGCUCUCUGUGUGAACAGGUCUCAUCAGUGGAAUGUGGUUGAUGAAGUGAGGUCUUCAAUUUUCUCAUCUACUGUGUGGUCAUGUUAUUUUCCUCAUCUGAGGCUUAAAAACUCACCUGCAUGCAGCACAUGACAGCUUAAAAUCUCUUGUGAACAAAACAGUAACAAAGACACCCACCAGCGUUGAGCAUCCCGUGUUGAUGACAGCGACCACCAGGGGUCAACGUCCUCUUCACAAUCCUGUGUCAGAGCAUCACUUGACUGAUUUCAUUAGCAACUUCCCAGGAGAAUCAGCUUACAAAAUACUUGUCCCAUUUUCCAUGCAGAUGUAACCCAUCUAUUUUACUGAAGAAAUGGGAAGAGCUGAAUGCUGAAUACACUGAAUGUCUGCAGGUUGUGCAAGUUUGUGACUUUAUCACUUUCUAAUUUCUGAUCUGUGUGGACCACUCUACAGAUUUUUCUCACUGGUGUGAUCAGCCUUCUGGAUGUCAAAUAUAAUAGACUUUCAAUAAUAUAAAAGUCAACACAAGCUCCUCAUGGUUUCAGUGCUCAGUGAUGACUCUAAACUUACACAAUGUGUUUCUUUAUUAGUUUUGUUUUCUGGUAUCUCUACUCGGCAUCUUCACCACACCCAUUUUAUGUUUCUUAUACAGGCUUUCUUCUAUGAAAUGCUAUGUCAUGAAUAUGCAAAUAACCUGAGAUCCACUGAGGUAAAUUUGGAUGUCUGUGCCCUGAGAGCAUCACCCAACAACCACAUCCCUCCUCUAUAGAAGCCCCUGAGAACA